CCUACGGGAGGCAGCAGUGAGGAAUAUUGGUCAAUGGCCGGAAGGCUGAACCAGCCAUGCCGCGUGAAGGUCAGUGCCCUAUGGGCGUUAAACUUUUUUUUUUCGGGAGCAAUAAUGGUCACGUGUGGCCAGACGACAGUACCUUACGAAUAAGCAUCCGCUUACUCCGUGCCCGCCGCCGCCGUUAUACGGGGGGUGCCAGGGUUUUGCGGAAUUAAUGGGUUUUAAGGGUGCGUAGGAUGGGAGGUUAGUCAAGGUGGGAAUGCCCCCGGUCCACGGGGUGAAGUGCCAUUGAUACUGGCAGGCUGGAAUGCGGAUGCGGUAGGAGGAAUGUGUGGUGUAGCGGUGAAAUGCAUAGAUAUCACGCAGAACACCGAUUGCGAAGGCAGCUGACGAAUCCGUGAUUGACGCUGAUGCACGAAAGCGUGGAUAUCAAACAGGAUUAGAUACCCUAGUAGUC
rnacentral:rRNA from 1 species